CAACCACGACCCUAAUUUCUUCCCUCACUCUCGUCUCCGCCUCUCACUCGUCUCUCAUCACUCCCUCUCUUACAAUACUCUUUUUCCCUUUAAUGGUAGUGAAUGCUGCCGUCUCUGGGAGGCACCACCACAAGCAUUUUGUGGUAAUAAUGUCUGCUGUCUUCAACGCUUUCUCAUGCUCUCCCCCCAUUCUCUGCCGCAUAGCUGUGCUUCUCCGCCCUAACUACUGGCGGCACUAUCGGUUCACCUCAACUUCUCUGAUUACUUUCUCAUCUAGCAACUAUAAAACUCCAGCAUCAGUGGUUCUCGCACGGGCUUGGCAAUACUUAUCUUCCAUGGUCAAAGAAGAUUAAGUAGCUUCUCGUAAGGACAUAAUAAUAAAUUCACAGUUGUACUUUAAUAAAUUGUUAGUUUAUAUGAUAAUUGGAAAAGCAAGAUUGGCAAUCGGAUUUUAUUUAUUUUUAUUAAUUUACUAUUUGUUGUAGCUGAUGAUUUACAUUUCGAGGGGCAGCUCAAAACAGUGGAAAUAUUGAGAGCGAAGAACAAGCGAACAAUCGUGUUUUGGUUUAUCUAUUUCUUUAAAUUGACGAAAAAUUUUAAUUGUUUUCAAGAUGAUAUUGAUAAUGAAUUCUUGAGUCAAUUGUGUUGUAACUUUUAAGUGUUGGGUGGAUGAAUUGAAAUUAUUGUGGAGAUUCUCUGAAAGCAAAGAACCUAGAAAGGGGCUUUUUACCUUUGCACCUUGAAGGAGACUAUGCAAUAAAAUAUAUCUUGCUGGCUGUUCUGGUUAUGAUAUUUUGGGAAUUUUUUACUGUGAUUGUUUAGCUACCUGGUAGCUAUACAUUUAAUUUUAGUAAUACCUUUGAAUUCCAUGCUACCCUUGAUACGUGGACUACCUUAUAAUGGGGAUGAAGUUAGAAGAAAUGGAGAGCUCCAUGGAUCUGAUCAAGCAAGGUGCUAAAACUAUAAGUUGGUAGUUGUUUAUUUUUCUGGAUUGUUAAGAAUAACUACUGCCUUGUAAGCUUUUGGAUGCUAUAGUUUAUUUAUUUUAUUUUUUAAAAUUGUAUUAGACUAUAAUAUAAGAACAAGAAACAGUGAAAAAAAAAACACUUUCUUGCAGUUUCAUAUUCCCUGGUGAUCAUGCUCUAGCAAUUUGUAAAUAUGGACUAACUUUAUCUCCCUAUGAUUUGUAUCUUAUUUAGAGAGUCUUCGAGUCAAAAUUUGUCGAUAGGAUGUCUAUUGUGAAGGAACACGAGUCAUACUUUUCAUUCAACUAUGUCAUUCCGUGUCCACUCGAAACUGAAAGGAUUCAUUGCCAUUCCCCCGUUCCCCCAAUCCUGAAGCCUUUGAGUUGAUGAUGACAAGGAAUUAACUUUCUAAAUGUGUAUGAAAAUAUGCUUGUGGUUACUGAAUAUUCCUAGAACCUACUGUUAUAAUUUAGUUGCUUUAUCCGACAGAUUGCUGCUAGCUAUCAUGCAAUAGCUAUAGCUCUUUCAUUAAUGGAAGCAUAUUCUCUCAAUGUGCAACAUGAACAAACUAUAUUACAAAUUCUUCAAGAUAAACUGGGAGCAAAGGAUCUUCGUACUCAAGAUGCUAUUGCAUGACUUGAAUAUUUUGAAUCAAAAGCUUUGGAGCAGCAAGAAGCAGCACGUAAUGGAACUCCAAAAUCAGAUGCAUCCAUUGCCAGCAAAGGUCACCUGAGGUAUUGAUUUAGCAAACGAUAUGGAGUUCAUUGAACGUUAUGAAUCCAUGUCGUAAUGUGUAUUAAAAGAAGAAGAUUUAAAAGAAAAAGAUUGCAUUACGACGAAGCAUCAAGUAUCUUAAAGGUGGGAGGCUCUUUUCUGUAUGAAAGAUGCAGACCAAGAAAAAAGUAACGGGAAGGAUUUUUGAGAGCUACCCAACCCAACGGUUUGAAAAUAGCAAGUUGUAAAUUAUCUUCUUUUAUACAAUAAUUUUCUUUUGUUUAAGAGGAGUGUAAAAUGUUUAUUUGAUGGGGCAAUAUGCAAAUAAAAAAAUUUCUUCAAUUUAUUAUAAUGAUGUGUUUUGUCUAUU